UUGAACGCACUAUUUUGCGUUGACUACCGUAA
rnacentral:scRNA from 1 species